GGGGGCAUAGCUCAGUGGUAGAGCGUGUGCUUAGCCUGCACGAGGUCCUGGUUCAAUCCCCAGUAUCUUCA
rnacentral:tRNA from 1 species